UUUCUCGUUUCGUGUCGAUCCUUCUAUUACGGUGGAGCCCGGGCGUCCGCCAUAAGUUAUCGACGCGACGACGCUCAUAUUUCGUCAGUUUGCGCGGCGUCGAGAGGUGCGCUAGCUCCUGCUGCUGCUGAUGCCUCUACCGCUGCUGCUAGCUCAACUCGGCACUUUAGAUGGGGGCCAACCAACACUACUGGACCCCGCCGCCGAUUAGAUAUCCGGAGAGAGAGAGAGAGAGAGAGCAGCCUAUAUGUUAUUAGAACGUUGCAAGCCGCCCGCGUUAGUUUCGGCUCCUCGCCCUGUGUGGUGUACCGGCUGUCUCCGCAUCAUUUUCUACCAAUACGAUUUUUUGUUCCCCCUUUCCAUCAGAGCCAGUCUAUACAUUACGUGAAUAUUACUCCGCACACACUGCAGCCGCCCAAAUAUUAUACAGCACACACAAACACAAGGCGAUUUCUUGCCUAUAUAAAUUGACACGUAUAAGAGCCCAAUAAAAGAAACGCAAGGUCUAA